CGGUAAUUCCAGCUCGAAAAGCGUAUGUUAAAUUUGCUGCGGUUAAAAAGCUCGUAGUUGGACGUCAGGAGAUGAACUGUGCGCUGUCAUGUCAACUAAUGGCGUGUACAGCAUUGCACUUGCUUCAUUCCUUUGAUUUCGCUUUCCUAUCGCGUCUUCCAAUUGGUUUUGGGAGGCGCAAAUAAAAAGGAGGCGAGUGACUACUUUGAGAAAAUUAGCGUGCUUAACGCAAGCGACUUGCUUGAAUACUGUUGCAUGGAAUAAUGAGAUAGGACCUUGGUUCUGUUUCGUUGGUUUCCGGAAGCCGAGGUAAUGAUUGAUAGGGAUAAACGUGGGCAUUCGUAUUGUGGUGUUAGAGGUGAAAUUCGAUGAUCACCGCAAGACGUACAACUGCGAAAGCAUUUGCCAAGAAUGUUUUCAUUAAUCAAGAACGAAAGUUAGAGUUUCGAAGACGAUUAGAUACCGUCCUAGUUCUAACUAUAAACUAUGCCAACUGGGCAUCUGGCGCUUGCAAUAAAGCAUCGCCAGGCACCCCGCGGGAAACCAAAGUUAUUGGGUUCCGGGGGGAGUAUGGUUGCAAAAUCGAACAC
rnacentral:rRNA from 1 species